CACGUAGGGACCGAGCGUUGUCCGGAUUCAUUGGGCGUAAAGAGCUCGUAGGCGGUCGGGUAAGUCGGGUGUGAAAUCUCCGGGCUCAACUCGGAGGGGCCACCCGAUACUGCACGACUCGAGUCCGGUAGGGGAGUGGGGAGUUCCUGGUGUAGCGGUGAAAUGCGCAGAUAUCAGGAGGAACACCGGUGGCGAAGGCGCCACUCUGGGCCGGUACUGACGCUGAGGAGCGAAAGCGUGGGUAGCAAACAGG
rnacentral:rRNA from 1 species